rnacentral:tRNA from 1 species
AUUUAUAUAGUUUAAAAUAAAACAUUAUAUUUUCAAUAUAAUAAUAUAAAAUUAAUUAUUAUAAAUU